rnacentral:rRNA from 1 species
UACGUAGGGUGCGAGCGUUAAUCGGAAUUACUGGGCGUAAAGGGCGCGUAGGCGGUCAGCACAAGUCAGUUGUGAAAUCUCCGGGCUUAACUCGGAAGGGUCAACUGAUACUGUGCGACUAGAGUGCAGAAGGGGCAACUGGAAUUCUCGGUGUAGCGGUGAAAUGCGUAGAUAUCGAGAGGAACACCUGAGGUGAAGACGGGUUGCUGGGCUGACACUGACGCUGAGGCGCGAAAGCCAGGGGAGCAAACGGG